ACGAGUCAGCUCUAGCACAGUUUCAGACCAUUACUAUUUGUUAAUCGUAAUUUUGUCUUUGUUUUAGCCAAUUUCAUGGUUAUUGUUUUAAGGUUUUCUUUUAAAAAGUGAUGUCAUGGAAAGAAAUUUUAAAAAGCACUGGGUGGGAAAGUAAGAGAAGUCUUUCCGAAGAAUGUGAGGCACUGAGUUCAAGUCCAGAGAAAGAUGUUCUGCAAAAUAGAUCCAGUUUUUUGUGGGCCCACAGUCUCAGGAAGAGGAAAGAUACUAAUAAAGAUAGAGUCAUAAAUGUGACAAAACACUGAAGGAGUGCAGAAAAUGUCUGGAGAUUAUUAAGAACAGCUGCUGAAAGAGAAGAGUAGAUUUGUGAAAUCCACUUGCUUGGUCUGUAUCUCUUGGU